rnacentral:rRNA from 1 species
AUUGAACGCUGGCGGCAUGCUUUACACAUGCAAGUCGAACGGUAGAGGGGGCAACCCCUUGAGAGUGGCGGACGGGUGAGUAAUGCAUCGGAACGUGCCCAGUCGUGGGGGAUAACGCAGCGAAAGCUGUGCUAAUACCGCAUACGAUCUCUGGAUGAAAGCGGGGGACCUUGUAGCAAUACGGGGCCUCGCGCGAUUGGAGCGGCCGAUGUCAGAUUAGGUAGUUGGUGGGGUAAAGGCUCACCAAGCCAACGAUCUGUAGCUAGUCUGAGAGGACGACCAGCCACCCUGGGACUGAGACACGGCCCAGACUCCUACGGGAGGCAGCAGUGGGGAAUUUUGGACAAUGGGCGCAAGCCUGAUCCAGCAAUGCCGCGUGCAGGAAGAAGGCCUUCGGGUUGUAAACUGCUUUUGUACGGAACGAAAAGGUCUGGGUUAAUACCCUGGGCACAUGACGGUACCGUAAGAAUAAGCACCGGCUAACUACGUGCCAGCCGCCGCAGUAA